GGUCAGCGACUUAUAUUCUGUAGCAAGGUUAACCGUAUAGGGGAGCCGGAGGGAAACCGAGUCUUAACCGGGCGUUAAGUUGCAGGGUAUAGACCCGAAACCCGGUGAUCUAGCCAUGGGCAGGUUGAAGGUUGGGUAACACUAACUGGAGGACCGAACCGACUAAUGUUGAAAAAUUAGCGGAUGACCUGUGGCUGGGGGUGAAAGGCCAAUCAAACCGGGAGAUAGCUGGUUCUCCCCGAAAGCUAUUUAGGUAGCGCCUCGUGAACUCAUCUCCGGGGGUAGAGCACUGUUUCGGCUAGGGGGCCAUCCCGGCUUACCAACCCGAUGCAAACUGCGAAUACCGGAGAAUGUUAUCACGGGAGACACACGGCGGGUGCUAACGUCCGUCGUGAAGAGGGAAACAACCCAGACCGCCAGCUAAGGUCCCAAAGUCAUGGUUAAGUGGGAAACGAUGUGGGAAGGCCCAGACAGCCAGGAUGUUGGCUUAGAAGCAGCCAUCAUUUAAAGAAAGCGUAAUAGCUCACUGGUCGAGUCGGCCUGCGCGGAAGAUGUAACGGGGCUAAACCAUGCACCGAAGCUGCGGCAGCGACGCUGAUGCGUUGUUGGGUAGGGGAGCGUUCUGUAAGCCUGUGAAGGUGGCCUGUGAGGGUUGCUGGAGGUAUCAGAAGUGCGAAUGCUGACAUAAGUAACGAUAAAGCGGGUGAAAAGCCCGCUCGCCGGAAGACCAAGGGUUCCUGUCCAACGUUAAUCGGGGCAGGGUGAGUCGACCCCUAAGGCGAGGCCGAAAGGCGUAGUCGAUGGGAAACGGGUUAAUAUUCCCGUACUUGGUGUUACUGCGAAGGGGGGACGGAGAAGGCUAUGUUGGCCGGGCGACGGUUGUCCCGGUUUAAGCGUGUAGGUGUGUGUUCCAGGUAAAUCCGGUUCACUUUAACACUGAGGCGUGACGACGAGGCACUACGGUGCUGAAGCAACAAAUGCCCUGCUUCCAGGAAAAGCCUCUAAGCAUCAGGUAACAUCAAAUCGUACCCCAAACCGACACAGGUGGUCAGGUAGAGAAUACCAAGGCGCUUGAGAGAACUCGGGUGAAGGAACUAGGCAAAAUGGUGCCGUAACUUCGGGAGAAGGCACGCUGACAUGUAGGUGAAGUGAUUUACUCACGGAGCUGAAGUCAGUCGAAGAUACCAGCUGGCUGCAACUGUUUAUUAAAAACACAGCACUGUGCAAACACGAAAGUGGACGUAUACGGUGUGACGCCUGCCCGGUGCCGGAAGGUUAAUUGAUGGGGUCAGCGCAAGCGAAGCUCCUGAUCGAAGCCCCGGUAAACGGCGGCCGUAACUAUAACGGUCCUAAGGUAGCGAAAUUCCUUGUCGGGUAAGUUCCGACCUGCACGAAUGGCGUAAUGAUGGCCAGGCUGUCUCCACCCGAGACUCAGUGAAAUUGAACUCGCUGUGAAGAUGCAGUGUACCCGCGGCAAGACGGAAAGACCCCGUGAACCUUUACUAUAGCUUGACACUGAACAUUGAGCCUUGAUGUGUAGGAUAGGUGGGAGGCUUUGAAGUGUGGACGCCAGUCUGCAUGGAGCCGACCUUGAAAUACCACCCUUUAAUGUUUGAUGUUCUAACGUGGACCCGUAAUCCGGGUUGCGGACAGUGUCUGGUGGGUAGUUUGACUGGGGCGGUCUCCUCCUAAAGAGUAACGGAGGAGCACGAAGGUUGGCUAAUCCUGGUCGGACAUCAGGAGGUUAGUGCAAUGGCAUAAGCCAGCUUGACUGCGAGCGUGACGGCGCGAGCAGGUGCGAAAGCAGGUCAUAGUGAUCCGGUGGUUCUGAAUGGAAGGGCCAUCGCUCAACGGAUAAAAGGUACUCCGGGGAUAACAGGCUGAUACCGCCCAAGAGUUCAUAUCGACGGCGGUGUUUGGCACCUCGAUGUCGGCUCAUCACAUCCUGGGGCUGAAGUAGGUCCCAAGGGUAUGGCUGUUCGCCAUUUAAAGUGGUACGCGAGCUGGGUUUAGAACGUCGUGAGACAGUUCGGUCCCUAUCUGCCGUGGGCGCUGGAGAACUGAGGGGGGCUGCUCCUAGUACGAGAGGACCGGAGUGGACGCAUCACUGGUGUUCGGGUUGUCAUGCCAAUGGCACUGCCCGGUAGCUAAAUGCGGAAGAGAUAAGUGCUGAAAGCAUCUAAGCACGAAACUUGCCCCGA
rnacentral:rRNA from 1 species